AGGAGGGCUUGGGCUUAGCGCUGGCCUUGCACUCCCAGACCAGGGUGUCGUCGAUGGGCCUCUGGGCAUCCUCGGGCUUCUCAAUCAGGCUCGCCGAACACAUCGCCUGAAGAGGGUUUCACCACAAAGACAAAUUCUGCUUAAUUCAAUUAACAUUAAGGCCCUGUAAGAAGUUGUAUUUUCGCCUCUCUAAGAAAUAGGGAUCGAACCAACAACCUCUGUCUCUUUUCCUCUUCUGCACAGUAGCCUACUACCUUAUGAUGAAUGCUUCAGGAAGCUUUUAGACAAUGCUAAAUUGAAAAUACAUUACUUUACAAAAACAGAUACCAAAUGACAACCACCCAAGCUAUUACAAAUGGGACCACCAAGGAUUAGAUAAUGAAAGGAAGACGGCAGAACUUCUUGGAGUCAAUUUGAUCCGGUGCAGGCCCAUUCAAAUGCAUCUGACCACUACAUGGUUUUAUUUCAUAAAUUAUGUGGAACUCGGAAGAGCUAUUAAGUGGGAAAUUGAAAGCACUACACCGCCCCAUAUGGAGCAGAAGCCAGCGGUGGGUCCUUACUGGGAGCACCAGAUCCCUGUAUUGAUUCUCUUAUUCUGCUAUAGAGUUGAUGGAUGUCUCACAGGCACCCAUCCAUGGGAGCUCAAAAUGAGAUUACAGAUUUUUAUCACCUGGCAAGGAGCCAGUUUGUGUGGCUUUGAAAGAAGACAGCACCGAAAGUUAACAAGGACAAACAGCGCUUCCCAUACAACUAAAGCUGAAUAAAGCGGGCUUUGAGACCAAUGUCAAGUGUUUGUGCAACAGCGGCGAGAGGAAGCUUCUUUCAUCUGACUUGCAGUCCUGCAUCUUCGGCCUGGAAAUACGGGAUCUCCAGAACGCCGCUGGCCUUGUUCACAUCCACCUUCCGGCCAAACGGA